rnacentral:tRNA from 1 species
AAUCUCAUAGCUCAAUUGGUUAGAGCACCGGUCUUUUAAACCGGGGGUUGAAGGUUCAAUUCCUUCUGGGGUUA